GCUCCGCCCAUCUCUUCACCCCCAGAUAGCCCUUCUCCCUGACCCCUAGGUUAAUCUCGCCUCUCUCUCUCUCAUUUCAUCCCUGACUCUAGACAGGUAAAGUUGCAGAAGGGGCCUGGACUGAGGGAAGCAAAGCAGCUGCUCCCCCUAAAACCCUCAGACACCUGGGGCUCCCGGAAGAGCACCCCAUCUAGGUUCCCUCCCUCCCUACUGUGAAGGCAGGGACAGGCAUGGUUAGGGACAUGGCACCCCUUUGGUGGUUUUGAGAAGGAGCUAAGUCCGAAGGAGAAAACCGAGAACUGAAAAGUGGAUACCAGUAGAUCUUGUCCUUGUUGGAGAUUAAGGAAGACCUCACUGAAGCCAAAAAAAGGUUCAGAGAGUGGGGGGGUAGGAGAAAAGGGAGCAAGAUGCCUGAGUUCUGGGAGUUUCCAGAGCGGGGAAGUCCCAGGGUGUGGGGAUGAAGGUGCUACAAUGGCCUCACCCAGCACUCUGGCCUUGGGGGAUGUAGGGCAUAGGGAAGAAAAUGGGUCAAAGCCAUGUUAGGAGUUAACCCUAUUCUUCCCAUGGCUUUCUCAAGUUCUACAGCAGCAGAGUCAGCAGAAAGCCUGCCUGCCUUAGGAGGAAGCAAGUUACAAUGGGAAAAUCACUAAAUCAGGAAUUAGAAGAGAGACCCCAGUAGUGUCCAGAGGCUGAAGUAACUGCUUCCUGGUGGACAGAAGAGAGAUCCAACACUGGAGGAGGAGAGGAACAUACAAGCGAACAAGGGACUCAGGCGCCCUGCCUCCCAGAGGUCAUUCUUUUGAGGGAAAGGGGAAAGGGGUCUUCAUGCUAAGGCUCCAACAUCCCCCUACACAUCCUCACCAGCCAAACCAGUUUGCCCCUUAAGUCAAAAAAAAGUCUGACUGGGAUAUUUGUUCCCCCCCCAAUAGAUUGUAAGCUCUUUGAGGGCAGAGACUGUCUUUUGCCUCUUCUUUUAUCCCUAGCUCUUAGCACAUAGCCUAGCACAUAGCAGGCGCUUAAAAAAUGUUCUUUGAAAUUGAAUCUAAUUAGAAGAAGGGAAGGGUGGAGAAGGAACCUCUGAUCUAAUGGGGAAAGCAAAGGUAGAAGUGUGUGUGUACAUAUGUAAUUGAACGCUGGCAUGACCCUGUCACUGCCAUUCCCCCAAUGUUUGGGGGUGUGUAGUAGCCAUCGCCUCCCCCUACAUUAAUGACACACAGUGAGCAAAAGAGGUUGGUAUGAUGGAUAACCGGACAGUAACCAGCCAAGCUAAACUAUCCCUGCCCCACCCCAUCCCCUAAAAACAGAGAAGUAGGAUAAAGCAAAACUCGGAAAGGGGGCUGGCAUCCUGGCACCCCAGACACUGACCUUCUCUGCCCCUAAGCCAUGCCUAUUCUCCCCCGGGACGGAGCAACAAAGGCCAAGAGAAAGGGAGGGGCAGAGACACAGGCGUCCCCGGCUGCCCCGCCCCCCCCUUCUCCCCA